UGCAGUCGAGCGGACUUGACUGAAAAGCUUGCUUUUCUGUUCAAGUCAGCGGCGGACGGGUGAGUAACACGUGGGCAACCUGCCCUGCAGAUUGGGAUAACUCCGGGAAACCGGGGCUAAUACCGAAUAAUAUCGAAGAUCUCAUGAUCUUCUUUUGAAAGACGGUUUCGGCUGUCACUGCAGGAUGGGCCCGCGGCGCAUUAGCUAGUUGGUGAGGUAACGGCUCACCAAGGCCACGAUGCGUAGCCGACCUGAGAGGGUGAUCGGCCACACUGGGACUGAGACACGGCCCAGACUCCUACGGGAGGCAGCAGUAGGGAAUCUUCCGCAAUGGACGAAAGUCUGACGGAGCAACGCCGCGUGAGUGAAGAAGGUUUUCGGAUCGUAAAACUCUGUUGUCAGGGAAGAACAAGUAUGGGAGUAACUGCCCGUACCUUGACGGUACCUGGCCAGAAAGCCACGGCUAACUACGUGCCAGCAGCCGCGGUAAUACGUAGGUGGCAAGCGUUGUCCGGAAUUAUUGGGCGUAAAGCGCGCGCAGGCGGCCUUUUAAGUCUGAUGUGAAAGCCCCCGGCUCAACCGGGGAGGGUCAUUGGAAACUGGAAGGCUUGAGUGCAGAAGAGAAGAGCGGAAUUCCACGUGUAGCGGUGAAAUGCGUAGAGAUGUGGAGGAACACCAGUGGCGAAGGCGGCUCUUUGGUCUGUAACUGACGCUGAG
rnacentral:rRNA from 1 species